UUCGCAACUGACGCUAGCUUGAUGACUUUUUCCUUAUUUGUAUACCAAAGCGGCGAGUAUACGUCAGAAUAUUGACGUUUAUUCACGCGAAAAUAAAACGUCAUUAAUAAUGAAGGUGAAAUGUCAACAUUACGCCAGUAUUCGUUAAUUGCAGUGAUGAAGUGCAUCAUUAUGCCAUUAUAGUUCGAGAAGGGCCACCGACUAUCUGGACAGUACCAUCGUGUGUUUGUGCACUCUGACAGGGGACGACGCCAUUGAGGGACCUAAUUAAACACACCUUCACCUGGAUUGAAGAUACUUCAGAGGCUACUCUAAAGACCCAUGGAGCCCAACCUGUUGGUUCUGAUCCGAUGCUGGAGGCCCGCUGAUGGCUGCAGUGGGCCGGCAGGACGCAGCGUUGACAGGCGGGGUGAGAGAGUCUUGCAGACGGCGUGGACGCGGCAGACAGAUGCCCUCUUAUAAGCAGCAGAGGCGCUCAAUGGUGGAGUGUUGUUGGCCACUGCAUCACCUGGCCUCCUCCUCCUCGUCCUGUGGGUGCUUCUCCGCACCAGAGUGUGGUCCUGACUCCUAAUGAGCUCCAGAACCUCUUCCUCCUUCACCCUGCUCCAUCCUCUUCACAUCUUUUAUGUACCAUACGCUCACACAUGCAUGUGUAAUAAGACAAAAUCAAUAUCUGACUGUUUUGUCUCAUUCAAUUUGAUUACAGUCAAAGAGUUGAUGGUCCAAAGCUGCUGCUGCUGCUGCUGCUGCAUCCUUUGGUGGACGAAUCUCAGUACAUUUGCAACAUGCAUUCAUGGAGGUAUUAUUAUUAUUAUUAUUAUUAUUGUUGGCUCUCAGCAUAUUAAAACAAUAACAGUAAUUAA